UGGGGAAUUUUGGACAAUGGGCGAAAGCCUGAUCCAGCAAUGCCGCGUGUGUGAAGAAGGCCUUCGGGUUGUAAAGCACUUUUGUCCGGAAAGAAAUCCUUGGCUCUAAUACAGUCGGGGGAUGACGGUACCGGAAGAAUAAGCACCGGCUAACUACGUGCCAGCAGCCGCGGUAAUACGUAGGGUGCAAGCGUUAAUCGGAAUUACUGGGCGUAAAGCGUGCGCAGGCGGUUUACUAAGACCGAUGUGAAAUCCCCGGGCUCAACCUGGGAACUGCAUUGGUGACUGGCAGGCUAGAGUAUGGCAGAGGGGGGUAGAAUUCCACGUGUAGCAGUGAAAUGCGUAGAGAUGUGGAGGAAUACCGAUGGCGAAGGCAGCCCCCUGGGCCAAUACUGACGCUCAUGCACGAAAGCGUGGGGAGCAAACAGGAUUAGAUACCCUGGUAGUCCACGCCCUAAACGAUGUCAACUAGUUGUUGGGGAUUCAUUUCCUUAGUAACGUAGCUAACGCGUGAAGUUGACCGCCUGGGGAGUACGGUCGCAAGAUUAAAACUCAAUGAAUUGACGGGGUCAUAGCUGUUUCCU
rnacentral:rRNA from 1 species